GUGAGAAAACUGAGGCUCUGAGUGAGAUGGGAACAAAGGAUGGACAUAAUCUACCAUUAGAUGCUCAAUAUGGUUAUUAUUUAUCUUGCAGCCCAUAAAGAUAAUAAUGCGAUCCGUAUUUAUUAAUCUAGGAAGAUGUCUGUUAAGUGAGGGCUAAGCUAUACAAUAAUAUGAACAGUAUGAUCCCAUUUUGCUUAUCAAAAGGCAUCACUAAAAUGUUAUCAUUAAAUGAUCAUCUCUGAUUAGUGGGAUUACGGGUGACUUUCGUUUUUCCCCUUUUACUUUUUUUAGUAUUUGAUAAUUUUCCUCCAGUGGGCUUAUGAGCCUGUGUUAUUUGUGUAAUUAAAAUUACAUUUUGAAGAUUUAAAAAAUUGUAAGAACGCUGUCCCUGCGAAUGUUUAAUUUAGAUUUUCUCUGCAGGUUGUUUUAAAGGAAAAACAAAACCAAAAAAAGCACCUCCUGCUCUGACCACCCCUAUUUCCAGUUUUCCCUUUUGGCACAGCAAAGAUGACCUUGGGACUGAGGUGGAACCAUGUAAUUCUUCGUAAUCCCAGAGUCAGGCAGACCUGGGAGAUAACAUCCAUCUCGAAGGAAGAUCUGGCCUGAAGAGCAGUCACUCUUGCCUGGCAUGCAGAGAAUGCCAAAUCAUAUUAAUGACUGGCCAGAAUGAAGUGCGUGACCUCAUCACUCCAUAACUGACAGGAAACAACUGCUAGGGCAAGAAAAAAGGGUCUCCAGUGAGUAUUCUUGUCCACACACAUCCCCACUCACGUUCCUGGACCACUGCAUCUAACUGCCGCAGCAGCUAAUGAACCUUCUGGAAUAAAGGACCAGUUUCUUAAGAAGGGAUUGAGACCUCCAGUGGCCUCCCACAUUGUUUCCGGCAAGAAUUUAAAAAUUAUUUGUAACAUAUAGUAAUAAAAACUAACCACAGGCUGGGCGCAGUGGCUCACGCCUGUAAUCCCAGCACUUUGGGAGGCUGAGGCAGGUGGAUCACCUGAGGUCAGGAGUUCGAGACCAGCCUGACCAAUAUGGUGAAACCCUGUUUCUCCUAAAAAUACAAAAAUUAGCUGGGCAUGGUGGUGGGCGCCUGUAAUCUCAGCUACUCAGGAGGCUGAAACAGGAGAACUGCUUGAAUCUGGGAGGUAGAUGUUGCAGUGAGCCGAUAUCGCGCCAUUGCACUCCAGCCUGGGCAAUGACUCCGUCUCAAAAAAAAAAAAAAAAAAAAAAAACUAACCACAGCUACUAUUUAUGAACUCUAGUGCCACACCCCAUUUCUUCCCAGGUUUCACCCCCUCUUCCCAGGUUUCACCCACCCCAACCAGUGUUGUUUGCAACACUUCAGCUUCUCUCCUCACGAAGCACGUCUCCAGAGACGCCUCUUCCGCAACUUCCCAGGGAAGCCAUUUCUGCCUGGACCCACCACAGCUCCCAACCUGUCACGCACCCCUGGAGGGUUUUGCUCUGUAAUCCUGAUUUAGAAAUCCUCUUAUAUGAAACCACUGUAAUCCACAUCUGGUUAGACAAUUGGAAAAGUUCAUUGAAAGGAGAAAUAAUAAAAAUGGCAUCCAUCCCUUAAAUGUUGUAUGCCAACGUAAAACACAUUCGACAAUGACCCUGGGCUAAGGCUCUACCUUACAGAGAAACCUGUAUCGGUGUUCCCCUCCAUUUUCCUUACAUAAACCAACCAAAAAUCUUCAGUUGUUCCGUUCUCUGUCUCUCUCCCUCUCCACACCCACCUUCCCUCUUCCUCUCUCCCUCCCUCCCUCUCUCUUUCUCUCUUUUUUGAGACAGAGUUUCACUCUGUCACCCAGGCUGGAGUGCAGCGGCUAGAUCUUGGUUCACUGCAGCCUCCACCACUCCCCCCACUUCCCCCCCGCCGCCCCUGCCCCCACCGCAGCCUCCCAGGUGGCUGGGACUACAGGCCACCACGCCCACUAAUUUUUGUAUUUUUUCUAUAGAGACGGGGUUUCAUCAUGUUGCCCAGACUGGUCUCAAACUCUUGGGCUCAAGCAAUCCUCUCACCUCAGCCUCCCGGUGCUGGGAUUAUAGGCGUGAACCAUCGCGUCCGGCCUCCCAAAUCUUUUACAGUUGUCUUGUUCACUUCUCAUUCAGCAGCAUUUUGAGUUGGGAGGGGUAACAACUCACCUUAAUCAAGUCUCUCUAAAGCAUUCAACUUAGUUUUACUAGGUUCAUUUCUUGUAGCUCAUUGGUUUAACUAAUAGUUCCCCAAAUCACAUCCUACCAGUAUAAAAGCACAACUGGUAUAAACACGUUUGGGAACACACAUAACUCAAGUAUCAGGAUGUAAGAGCGAGAGCAUGGGGAGAGUUAAGAAUUUCUCACAGACUGAUUCCCUCCCACAUUCAUCCCUGGUGUGUUUAUCCGUGUUAGGGCUGUUCUGAUGAAAGUCUUGUAGGACUUGGCAGCAAGAUGGGAAAGAUCCAUGGAAGUCCAUUGCUCAUAGCUGAUGAUGAUCUCUCAUUGCUGAGCUUAGGGUUGAAAAAGGAGUGCCAGGUCCUUUGAAAUCAAGAAGAAUUUAUGAAUCACCUUUCAUUUAUGGAGCCCUUAGCUCAAAGCUCUAAAGUUAGUCUUUUCUCAAGAUUAUAUCCUAUUUGGGAAUGCUCAUAAUGGUCCAAUCACCAUUUGUGAAAACUUACUGUGUACCAGCAAUAAACACUCUUCUACAUAGACAAUCUCAUUCUAAUAUAAUUUCUGUGCACGUUAUAGAUUCUAUUUCUGAAACAGCCCUAUGUGGUAGUUUUAUUACUAUCCUCAUUUUCACCCAACAAAUCUGAGGCACUGAGAGGUUAAGGACCUGGACUGAAGCUGCACAGCUAGAAGGUGACAGA
rnacentral:lncRNA from 10 species